GUAAAUCCUUCGGCGAACACAGAAUCGGGAAAUCUGCUUGGAGCUGUCAAGGAAAAGAGCAAAGGAAAUCCUCGACAGCUCGGCAGGUCAUAUGGUUUUCUAAAUGAAGCAAGGAGGUCAUCUUUAAAUAUUGUGGAAAGUGCAUCAAGACAAGUCACUUUUAAAAUACAUUGAGGAAGCAAUUACCGUAUCUACGAGAUGAGAAAUAAGUCCAGGUACGCAUGUUCAAUUUUAUUUUUUGUAGUACUAAUAUGGUGCAGGUUCACUGACUAAAGUCAGGAAUUUCAUUAAAACAAGGUUACUUAUGGAACUUCAUUUACUGAUUGGAUUUGAUCUUUACGUGGUUUUGAAAAUUUAUUCAUCAUGAUUAUCAUAUAUUUUGACUUAAUGUGGAAUUAUUCAUAGUAUUGAUAUAUGUGACUGGAAAUAAUUGAUGCAGAAUUUUACUUGAGGAAACAAAAUACUCAAGGUGCCUCUAAAGGUGGAAUUGCACUCGAGGAAAUAAUACUCGAGACGCCGAAGACAACUAUGCUGGAAUAAUUAGGCGGAAACUAAGGUCUCUAGUGAUCUUAGGGAUCACAACAAGGAAACAUAUUUAAGGAAUAUAUCACAAUAUAUAUUUAUGAAGUUUUCAACAUAGUGUUAAUAUGAUUGCUGGUCCCUUGACUAAGUUUCUUAGUCGGGAGGUAUUUGGCAAGCAUGUUUAGGCUAUGGAUUUAUGAAUAUUUGAAUGAUCGUUUUGGA